rnacentral:tRNA from 1 species
AGGUAAGUGGCUGAGUGGCUUAAAGCGACAAUUUUGAAAAUUGUUAUAAACAAUGUUUUAUCAUAGGUUCAAAUCCUAUCUUACCUAC